AGAGUUUGAUCCUGGCUCAGAACGAACGUUGGCGGCGUGGAUUAGGUAUGUAAGUUGAGUGGGAUUAGUUUUUUUCAAUUUUUUGGAAAAGAAAGUUAUUAUGAUAGCGGCGAACGGGUGAGUAAUAUAUGGGUAUCUGCCCCUAAGUUCGGAAUAGCUAUCGGAAAUGAUAGGUAAUGCCGAAUGUGAUCGACCACCGCAUGGUGGUUUGUUUAAAGGCUGGGAAUCUUCGGAUCCAGUCGUUUAGGGAUGGGCCCAUAUCCUAUUAGCUUGCUGGUGAGGUAAUGGUUCACCAAGGCUUACGGGUAGCUGGUUUGAGAGGAUGGUCAGCCACACUGGGACUGAGACACUGCCCAGACUCUUAUGGGAGGCUGCAGUUGAGGAUUAUUGUUAAUGCAUGAAAGUGUGAAUAUGCGACGCCGCGUGGAGGAAGACGGCCUUCGGGUUGUAAACUCCUGUCAGCAGGGAGGAAGGAUGGCAUUAUUAAUAGUGUUGCCAUUUGACAGUACCUGCAGAGGAAGUUACGGCUAACUCUGUGCCAGCAGCCGUGGUAAUACAGAGGUGGCGAACGUUGUUCGGAUUUACUGGGCGUAAAGGGUCCGCAGGCGGUCUUGUGUGUCAGAUGUGAAAGCCCACGGUUUAACCGUGGAAUUGCAUUUGAAACUGCAAGACUAGAGUACUGGAGGGGAGAAGGGAACACUUGGUGUAGUGGUGAAAUGUGUAGAUAUCAAGUGGAACACCGGUGGUGAAGGUGCUUCUCUGGACAGAUACUGACGCUCAUGGACGAAAGUUAGGGUAGCGAAAGGGAUUAGAUAUCCCUGUAGUCCUAACCGUAAACGGUGUGCACUAGACGUGGGUGGAUUUAUUUCCAUCCGUGUCUGAGUUAAUGUAUUAAGUGCACCGCCUGGGGAGUACGGUCGCAAGAUUAAAACUCAAAGGAAUUGACGGGGACCCGCACAAGCGGUGGAGCAUGUGGCUUAAUUCGAUGCAAUGUGAAGAAUUUUACCUGGACUUGACAUAUAGCUGCAUAUGACCUGAAAGGGAUGUAGCCUUCGAGGGUGUUAUAUAGGUGCUGCAUGGCUGUCGUCAGCUCGUGCCGUGAGGUGUUGGGUUAAGUUCCGCAACGAGCGCAACCCCUGUGUUUAGUUGCCAGCACGUAAUGGUGGGAACUCUAAACAGACUGCUUGUGAAAACAAGAGGAAGGUGGGGGUGACGUCAAGUCAGUAUGGUCCUUAUGUCCAGGGCUGCACACGUGCUACAAUGGGUGAUAUAAUAGGAAGCUAAGCCGUGAGGUGGAGCAAAUCCUUAAAAUCACCCCCAGUUCGGAUCGUAGUCUGAAAUUUGACUGCGUGAAGUUGGAAUCGCUAGUAAAGGCGUAUUAGUUAUGACGCCUUGAAUAUGUUCCCGGGUCUUGUACACACCGCCCGUCACAUCAUGGAAGUUGGUUGCACCCGAAGUCGCUGAUCUAACCCGUUAAGGGAAGAAGGCGCCUAAGGUGUGAUCGAUAACUGGGAUGAAGUUGAAAUAAGGUA
rnacentral:rRNA from 1 species